GUGGGGAAUAUUGGACAAUGGGGGGAACCCUGAUCCAGCCAUGCCGCGUGUGUGAAGAAGGCCUUUUGGUUGUAAAGCACUUUAAGCGAGGAGGAGGCUACCGAGAUUAAUACUCUUGGAUAGUGGACGUUACUCGCAGAAUAAGCACCGGCUAACUCUGUGUCAGCAGCCGCGGUAAUACAGAGGGUGCAAGCGUUAAUCGGAUUUACUGGGCGUAAAGCGCGCGUAGGUGGCCAAUUAAGUCAAAUGUGAAAUCCCCGAGCUUAACUUGGGAAUUGCAUUCGAUACUGGUUGGCUAGAGUAUGGGAGAGGAUGGUAGAAUUCCAGGUGUAGCGGUGAAAUGCGUAGAGAUCUGGAGGAAUACCGAUGGCGAAGGCAGCCAUCUGGACCAGCACUGACACUGAGGCACGAAAGCGUGGGGAGCAAACAGGAUUAGAAACCCCGGUAGUCC
rnacentral:rRNA from 1 species